UACGGAGGGGGCUAGCGUUGUUCGGAAUUACUGGGCGUAAAGCGCACGUAGGCGGCUUUGUAAGUUAGCGGUGAAAGCCCAGGGCUUAACCCUGGAAUUGCCUUUAAGACUGCAUCGCUAGAAUCGUGGAGAGGUGAGUGGAAUUCCGAGUGUAGAGGUGAAAUUCGUAGAUAUUCGGAAGAACACCAGUGGCGAAGGCGACUCACUGGACACGUAUUGACGCUGAGGUGCGAAAGCGUGGGGAGCAAACAGG
rnacentral:rRNA from 1 species